rnacentral:lncRNA from 1 species
UAUUUGGUGAAUCAACUUUAUUUAGGCCUUCCUACGUGCCUGAGUCUAUAUAGCAUUCCAUUCUGGAUCGCAAAUUUAAAGAUUUCAAAUUUACCGCCUGAUGACGUCGUAAACUGCGCAUGCGCCGCACAUCACCCACAACUUCCAUUUUGCGGCUUGUUUAAAAUUUAUAGACGUGUUAAAAGAGUUUCAAAAAAACUCUAUUUUUAUGACCGUAUCUUUCGGUCUGGUAAUCUUACGUAUAUGUAAGUACGGCUGAUGAUGACCGUACGAGUCUACACCCCUCGGAAGACGAAUUUGAGGGGUUUUCAGCCGAUGACCUCCCCCACCCACUGACUAAACAACGAGACUAAGAAAAACUUCUACAAAAUUGAAGUCGGUACAGUAGUGAUUGAUCCAAAGAAAAAAGAUAUACGAGGUACUCGAAGUAACCACAUCCAUUGACGUGUUGAACAGUCUUCCAUUUAUUAAGUUUGGUGUACCAGUCAGACUA